CCUACGGGCGGCUGCAGUGGGGAAUAUUGGACAAUGGGCGAAAGCCUGAUCCAGCCAUGCCGCGUGUGUGAAGAAGGCCUUCGGGUUGUAAAGCACUUUCAGUGGGGAAGAAAGCCUUGGGGCUAAUACCCUCGAGGAAGGACAUCACCCACAGAAGAAGCACCGGCUAACUCCGUGCCAGCAGCCGCGGUAAUACGGAGGGUGCGAGCGUUAAUCGGAAUUACUGGGCGUAAAGCGCGCGUAGGCGGUCUGAUAAGCCGGUUGUGAAAGCCCCGGGCUCAACCUGGGAACGGCAUCCGGAACUGUCAGGGUAGAGUGCAGGAGAGGAAGGUAGAAUUCCCGGUGUAGCGGUGAAAUGCGUAGAGAUCGGGAGGAAUACCAGUGGCGAAGGCGGCCUUCUGGACUGACACUGACGCUGAGGUGCGAAAGCGUGGGUAGCAAACAGGAUUAGAUACCCGGGUAGUC
rnacentral:rRNA from 1 species